rnacentral:precursor_RNA from 7 species
GCGCUAUUCUUUCUAAGUGGACUAACCAUUCAACCUCAUUUCUAGCUUCUGGAGUGCCACUUGAAGCCUGGAAGCUUGAAAUAAGGUUGAAUGGUUAUUCCACUAACCGUACCCUGGCUCC